rnacentral:rRNA from 1 species
UACGAAGGGGGCUAGCGUUGCUCGGAAUCACUGGGCGUAAAGGGUGCGUAGGCGGGUCUUUUAAGUCAGGGGUGAAAUCCUGGAGCUCAACUCCAGAACUGCCUUUGAUACUGAAGAUCUUGAGUUCGGGAGAGGUGAGUGGAACUGCGAGUGUAGAGGUGAAAUUCGUAGAUAUUCGCAGGAACACCGGUGGCGAAGGCGGCUCCUGGUCCAGCACCGACGUCAGGCACGAAAGCGUGGGGAGCAAACAGGG